GCCGGUCCUCGGUAGUGGCACCCGGAAUGCCCCAGGGGGCAACGAACCGGAUGCUUCGAUCGAAGACCGGC
rfam:Streptomyces sp. MBRL 10 scaffold00074, whole genome shotgun sequence.